UGUGCGACAUUGUGUGUGCGACACUGCACGUGACGUCUGUGUGGGACACGUGGGCAAGUGACACAUGUGUGUGCAAGGCUGUGUGUGUGACAUCGUGCGUGCGACACUUGGGCGUGUGACGUGUGCAAGGCUGUGCGCGUGUGACACUGCACGUGCAACACAUGUGUGUGUGUGACAUGUGCAACGCUGCGUGUGCAUGUGACUCUGCGUGUGCAACGUGUGUGUGUGUGACAUAUGCGUGCCACGCUUGUGCGUGUGCAAGGCUGCGUUGUGCACAGGUGUGACCCCCCCCCACACGUGGCACACGUGUCACACGCGUGUCCCCAGGGCGCCAUGGGGCAGUGUGGGGCAGCGUGGAGUGACUAUGGGGCAGCUGUGGGGCAGUGUGGGUCUCUAUGGGGCAGUGUGGGGCAAUGUGGGUUUCUAUGGGGCAGUGUGGGGCCGCUGUGGGGCAGCUAUGGGGCAGUGUGGAGUGACUGUGGGUCAGUGUGGGGCAGCUGUGGGGCAGUGUGGGUCUCUAUGGGGCAGUGUGGGGCAGCUAUGGGGCAAUGUGGGUCAGUGUGGGACAGCUAUGGGGCAGUAUGGGGCAGCUGUGGGUCAGUGUGGGGCAGCUAUGGGGCAAUGUGGGUCUCUAUGGCUCUCUGUGGGAUGACGUGGGGCAGUGUG
rnacentral:lncRNA from 1 species